rnacentral:rRNA from 1 species
AACUUUCAACAACGGAUCUCUUGGCUCUGGCAUCGAUGAAGAACGCAGCGAAAUGCGAUAAGUAAUGUGAAUUGCAGAAUCCAGUGAAUCAUCGAAUCUUUGAACGCACAUUGCGCCCGCCAGUAUUCUGGCGGGCAUGCCUGUUCGAGCGUCAUU